rnacentral:rRNA from 1 species
AACGAACGCUGGCGGCAUGCCUAACACAUGCAAGUCGAACGAGACCUUCGGGUCUAGUGGCGCACGGGUGCGUAACGCGUGGGAACCUGCCCUUAGGUUCGGAAUAACUCCCCGAAAGGGGUGCUAAUACCGGAUAAUGUCUUCGGACCAAAGAUUUAUCGCCUUUGGAUGGGCCCGCGUUGGAUUAGCUAGUUGGUAGGGUAAAAGCCUACCAAGGCGACGAUCCAUAGCUGGUCUGAGAGGAUGAUCAGCCACACUGGGACUGAGACACGGCCCAGACUGCUACGGGAGGCAGCAGUGGGGAAUAUUGGACAAUGGGCGAAAGCCUGAUCCAGCAAUGCCGCGUGAGUGAGGAAGGCCUUAGGGUUGUAAAGCUCUUUUACCCGGGAUGAUAAUGACAGUACCGGGAGAAUAAGCUCCGGCUAACUCCGUG